GUGCCAGCCGCCGCGGUAAAACGUAGGAGGCGAGCGUUAUCCGGAUUUACUGGGCGUAAAGCGCACGCAGGCGGCCGCGCAAGUCGGUUGUGAAAGCUCCUGGCUUAACUGGGAGAGGCCAAUCGAAACUGCGGGGCUUGAGGUUGGGAGAGGGGUGUGGAAUUCCCGGUGUAGUGGUGGAAUGCGUAGAGAUCGGGAGGAACACCAGUGGCGAAGGCGGCACCCUGGCCCACACCUGACGCUGAGGUGCGAAAGCGUGGGGAGCAAACAGGAUUAGAUACCCGUGUAGUCC
rnacentral:rRNA from 1 species